rnacentral:rRNA from 1 species
GUUCCGUAGGUGAACCUGCGGAGGGAUCAAUUACUUAGUUUUGCAAUUCCCAAAUGCCUGUGAUUAUACUACUUGUUGCCUCGGCGGAUCAGCCCGCUCCCGGUAACCCGGGACGGCCCGCCAGAGGACCCCUAAACUCUGUUUCUAUAUGUAACUUCUGAGUAAAACCAUAAAUAAAUCAAAACUUUCAACAACGGAUCUGUUGGUUCUGGCAUCGAUGAAGAACGCAGCAAAAUGCGAUAAGUAAUGUGAAUUGCAGAAUUCAGUGAAUCAUGGAAUCUUUGAACGCACAUUGCGCCCGCCAGUAUUCUGGCGGGCAUGCCUGUUCGAGCGUCAUUUCCACCCUCAAGCACAGCUUGGUGUUGGGACUCGGGUUAAUUCGCGUUCCCCAAAUUGAUUGGCGGUCACGUCUAGCUUCCAUAGGGUAGUAGUGCAACCCUCGUUACUGGUAGUGGUGGCCGGGGCACUCCGUUAAACGCCCAACUUAGUAGGUAAUGUCCCAUGACCGUCUGAUCUUGUAGGAUUUACCCGCUGAACUUAAGCAUAUCAAUAAGCGGAGGAGUCA